rnacentral:rRNA from 1 species
CACCAAUACCAUACCACCCUGAACAUGCCAGAUCUCAUCUGAUCUCGGAAGCUAAGCAGGGUCAGGCCUGGUUAGUUCUUGGAUGGGAAAAAUCGCUUUUUACAGUUAUAUGAGUUAAAUAAGGCCAUUUUCAUAC